rnacentral:rRNA from 1 species
AGUGAACGCUGGCGGCAGGCCUAACACAUGCAAGUCGAGCGGCAGCGGGUCCUUCGGGAUGCCGGCGAGCGGCGGACGGGUGAGGAAUGCGUCGGAAUCUGCCUUUUUGUGGGGGAUAACGUAGGGAAACUUACGCUAAUACCGCAUACGACCUACGGGUGAAAGUGGGGGACCGCAAGGCCUCACGCAGAAAGAUGAGCCGACGUCGGAUUAGCUAGUUGGCGGGGUAAAGGCCCACCAAGGCGACGAUCCGUAGCUGGUCUGAGAGGAUGAUCAGCCACACUGGAACUGAGACACGGUCCAGACUCCUACGGGAGGCAGCAGUGGGGAAUAUUGGACAAUGGGCGCAAGCCUGAUCCAGCCAUGCCGCGUAUGUGAAGAAGGCCUUCGGGUUGUAAAGCACUUUUGUCCGGAAAGAAAUCCUGUCGGCUAAUACCCGGCGGGGAUGACGGUACCGGAAGAAUAAGCACCGGCUAACUUCGUG